rnacentral:rRNA from 1 species
GACAGAGGUGCCGAGCGCUAGGCGGAAUCACUGGGCUUAAAGCGGUGUGUAGGCGGAUCUGUAAGUACCUUGUGAAAUCCCACGGCUCAACCGUGGAAACUGCUUGGUAUACUGCGGGGUUCUGAGCCACCUAGGGGCAAGUGGAACAAACGGUGGGAGCGGUGAAAAUGCGUAGAUGAUCGUUUGGAACGCCAAUGGUGAAAACAACUUGGCUGGGGGUGUGACUGACGCUGGAGACACGAAAGCCAGGGGAGCAAACGGG